CUGAUCCCAUUCCGAACUCAGAAGUGAAACACAGUAUCGCCGAUGGUAGUGUGGGGUCUCCCCAUGCGAGAGUAGGUCAUUUCCAGGC
rnacentral:rRNA from 2 species